GCCAAAUGCCUCGUCAUC
rnacentral:ncRNA from 3 species